GCUGGUGACUUUUUUCCUGCCAGCACCCAAGUCCUGUGUGACUUCACCAUCCACGCAGAGACAAGAGCUCAUCAGACCUACACAGAUCCCUGCCUUCGUCGAUCAACCUCUUCCUGCUGCUGCAACACCUUCUUCAUCAUCUCUCUCAAAGGUUCCCUUUUUAGUUCUCAGUGUCAGCAUUAGGGAAAG